rnacentral:rRNA from 1 species
AGUCGAACGAUGAACCACUUCGGUGGGGAUUAGUGGCGAACGGGUGAGUAACACGUGGGCAAUCUGCCCUGCACUCUGGGACAAGCCCUGGAAACGGGGUCUAAUACCGGAUACUGAUCCGUCUGGGCAUCCAGACGGUUCGAAAGCUCCGGCGGUGCAGGAUGAGCCCGCGGCCUAUCAGCUUGUUGGUGAGGUAGUGGCUCACCAAGGCGACGACGGGUAGCCGGCCUGAGAGGGCGACCGGCCACACUGGGACUGAGACACGGCCCAGACUCCUACGGGAGGCAGCAGUGGGGAAUAUUGCACAAUGGGCGAAAGCCUGAUGCAGCGACGCCGCGUGAGGGAUGACGGCCUUCGGGUUGUAAACCUCUUUCAGCAGGGAAGAAGCGAAAGUGACGGUACCUGCAGAAGAAGCGCCGGCUAACUACGUGC